GAUGAACGCUAGCGGGAGGCCUAACACAUGCAAGCCGAGCGGUAUUGUUUCUUCGGAAAUGAGAGAGCGGCGUACGGGUGCGGAACACGUGUGCAACCUGCCUUUAUCUGGGGGAUAGCCUUUCGAAAGGAAGAUUAAUACUCCAUAAUAUAUUGAUUGGCAUCAAUUAAUAUUGAAAGCUCCGGCGGAUAGAGAUGGGCACGCGCAAGAUUAGCUAGUUGGUGAGGUAACGGCUCACCAAGGCGAUGAUCUUUAGGGGGCCUGAGAGGGUGAUCCCCCACACUGGUACUGGGACACGGACCAGACGCCUACGGGAGGAAGCAGUGAGGAAUAUUGGUCAAUGGGUGCAAGCCUGAACCAGCCAUCCCGCGUGAAGGACGACUGCCCUAUAGGUUGUAAACUUCUUUUGUAUAGGGAUAAACCUACCCUCGUGAGGGUAGCUGAAGGUACUAUACGAAUAAGCACCGGCUAACUCCGUGCCAGCCGCCGCCGUAAAAC
rnacentral:rRNA from 1 species